CGGGAGGCGGGGACAGGCCCAGGCCGGAGAGAGAGGUGCUGGCGGCCAGCGGUGACAGACAGGAUUCGCGGGGCUGCUAGGUGGCUGGAAUCCGACCGCGAGACGCGGAGUGUGCGGCCGGAAUGAGACUGCUGGUCACUGCAGGGGAGGCGAGGGGAGUGAUGGCUGAGACAAGUGGCUUCCUGAGGCCUAGAGCAUAAACAGCACCUCUUCUGGGCCCAGAUAAAGGAAUGGAAUAUGCAGAUGUUGACACCAGGAGCCCAGGAGCCCAGUUUCCUUUCCACAGAAAAGGGGACUAUAAACUAAAGAUGGCUAGAAGUGAUAAAGUAAGACCUGCAUUAUCCUUCUGUUUUCCCUCCCCUCUGUUCCUUACAGUAAAAGACCCUUGCCCACCUGUAAAGGGUGAGAUGGUGAUUUGAGGCAAGUAGGCCCCUUCUCCUCGGAGCUAGCUUUGAAUAAAUCCUUUUUCCUAUUUACCCAAAUAUAUGGCCUCCUUUGAUUUGGUCAAGGGAAGGCAGACAAACCUGAGCAUAUGAGCCUAAGCAGUAGAUAACGUAAUUGUCCUAAAUAAAAAGCAACAUUCCUGA